UGAACGCUGGCGGCGUGCCUAACACAUGCAAGUCGAACGGAGUGUAGACGCUGUGCGAAGAAGUGCUUGCACGGAUCAAACUGUUACACUUAGUGGCGGACGGGUGAGUAACGCGUGGAAAACCUGCCUCAUACAGGGGGAUAACAGGAAGAAAUUCCUGCUAAUACCGCAUGAGCGCACACUGUCGCAUGGCAGAGUGUGAAAAGAUUUAUCGGUAUGAGAUGGUUCCGCGUCUGAUUAGCCAGUUGGCGGGGUAACGGCCCACCAAAGCGACGAUCAGUAGCCGGCCUGAGAGGGCGGACGGCCACAUUGGGACUGAGACACGGCCCAGACUCCUACGGGAGGCAGCAGUGGGGGAUAUUGCACAAUGGAGGCAACUCUGAUGCAAGCGACGCCGCGUGGGUGAAGAAGUUAUUCGUAAUGUAAAGCCCUAUCAGCAGGGAAGAUAAUGACGGUACCUGACUAAGAAGCCCCGGCUAACUACGUGCCAGCAGCAGC
rnacentral:rRNA from 1 species